CUACGGAGAGGCAGAACUGGCAUAUCUCGGCCCGUACUAGCAUUUGUUGUGGGUGCAAAUGCAAUCUUAGGAGUUUAUAUCUGGAAACCAUUAAUACUGGAAAACAUAGAAAAACAAAAAUUGGAACAAAUUAAAAAAGACAGUUCUGAAUCAAAAGAUCAAACAGAAAUAACAGACAAAUAACUAACAGACUGUAUAUUCCCAUAAACUUAAAUCUACAAACUAUCUUGUGUGGCUUUGCUGCAGGGGAUUACCUCCCUUAGAUGAGACUUAACUAUAUAUUGUGUUAGAAACUUUCUUCAAUAUAUCUCUGGGAAGUUAAGUGUGAAAUUUUUGUUUAGAUUUGUGCAAAACUGGAAAAUACAUUAAAAUGGUUGCUGCAAAAUGGAAAUAUUUUGGAAUUUUUUGUGCUGGAGUUUCUGUUAUGUUUGGUAUAAGUUAUUAUAAAUCUGUCUACAAAGAGGCAUGUGUUGAAAAAGUGGAAAAUGAAAUGAAAAGAUACAUAGAAAUGAAAAAUAAAAAAGAAGAAGAAAUGAAAAAUUAAUAUCGUUUCACAAGUGUUGUAUUUUUAAUAGAUAGAUUAAUUAAAACAAAACAAUAAAUAUAGU